rnacentral:lncRNA from 1 species
GAAAUGUAUACGAACAUUUUGAUCAACCAGAAGUAUACUAGAUAUUUUCAAAGUUUUAAAAAAUAUAUUAGAUAUUAUUCCUAUAAAAAUACUUGUACGGACCAGUGAACAUACACAAUGAUUAACAUAUAGGAGAGGUUUCUAUUUAUUUAUCUUUUACUACUAUUCAAAAUUAAAAUUAAAGGAUACUAAAUUGAAUAUUCGAUAAAUUAUAGGUGGGAUAUUUGAAAAUUUUGGUAUAUGAUUUAAUAAAAAGUUAACAGAAGGGAUGACGAAAAGUGAAAAAUAAAAUUACAUGAUACUAAAUUGAUACACUUUACUAAAAUAAAAAAGUUCGAUUUGAAAAUUUUGGUAUACAAUUUAAUGAAAAGUUAACAGAAGAAAUGGCGAAAACGAAAAAUUAAAUUACAUGAUACUAAAUUGAUACACUUUAUUAAAAUAAAAAAGUUUGAAAUUACGGGGUGGGAUUUAAAGUUUAGUUUAAUUUUUAAUUUUUUUACGUAAAGAAUGUGGGGACUUGGAGUAU